rnacentral:lncRNA from 1 species
ACAACACUUGGUAAUCUAACCUAAUUUUAAAAUAGAAUUACAAACUACUAGAAACUACAAAUAUAUAUCUAUACUAUUAAAGCAUAAUCUUUAUUAGGAUUUUGACCUUAAUUUUUGAACUUAUUUACAAUGCAAUGCCACUGUCUUUUUUUUUUUACUUAACAAAAGAUUUUGGCCAACAUAAAUACAACCCAAAUUAUUGAUUUUACGGUUUGGAAAAAAGAAAGAUAUCAAAACAUUUACUCCUCUUUCGUAGGAAAGUAAUAUGUCAUCAAUUAAUAUGACACCAAAAUAUGGUGCCUUAAGUAACCAUUAUAAAAUUAACAGUAAGAAGGGGGGCGGGAGAGCUGUAUUUCGGUAAUCAUAAACUU